AGCUAAAAGGCCUGCUGACUUCGCAGCCCUGGAAGCCAAUGCGAGGAAGCUCCGGCCCGGGCUAAACCCGCAGGAAUGAGUGCUAUUGAGAGGAAGGAAGAAAGCAUCGUUGCCUAUUUUGCUGCAUGUUUAAGAUGUCUAUAGAGAGACGUGAAGUUUUCCUGAUGCUCCCAAGGCUUGAUACUUAAGACUUAGGGUAAGUACACAGGAUCAUUACUUUUGCUGGUUUGUUCAUUUUGCUGUUUUAAUUUUAGUCUAGCUUUAAACACCAGAUCACAUAUUUUUUUUU
rnacentral:lncRNA from 1 species